UUCAACAAUGAAGCUUCAUUCACUUAUUCUCUUCUGUGCCUCAGCGGCAUCUGUUCUUGGAAAUGACAUCAAGCCAAACAUCACAGAUGUUGUUUAUGAGGAGGGUUCAGAUGGUACAAUAUUCUGCAGUCAUUCUCCUGGAGCUGGAGAUUAUAUUUACUGGUACCGUCAGUAUGGAGGAUCAAAACCUGAAUUUCUUGUACUAAUUUUUGGCAGUACGAAAGACACUGAAACAUCAAAAGUAGAUCCAAGAUUCUCUGUUACAGUUGAGAAAAAGGAACGAAACCAUGCAGAUCUGCUGCUCUCCUCUGCCGCAGUAUCAGACUCUGCUGUGUAUUACUGCGCUCUGCAGCCCACAGUGACAGGAAACACAUCAGCUCUAUACAAUAACCUGUUACAGUGA